rnacentral:lncRNA from 1 species
AAACAGCUACGGUGUUAGCUCCGUGUCAUCGGGGACCAGAACACCAGCGGCAGGUUGUUAGCUCUGCGUCAUCAGGGACCAGAACACCAGCGGCAGGGUGUAGCUCCGUGUCAUCAGGGACCAGAACACCAGCAGCAGGGUGUUAGCUCCGUGUCAUCAGGGACCAGAACACCAGCAGCAGGGUGUGUAGCUCCGUGUCAUCAGGGACGCAAACACCAGCAGCCGGGUGUUAGCUCCGUGUCAUCAGGGACCAGAACACAUCACAGGGUUUUCCGUGUCUCAGGGACCAGACACCAGCAACAGUGUGUUAGCUCCG